rnacentral:rRNA from 1 species
UACAGAGGGUGCGAGCGUUAAUCGGAAUUACUGGGCGUAAAGCGUGCGUAGACGGUAGCGUAAGUCAGAUGUGAAAGCCCCGGGCUCAACCUGGGAACUGCAUUUGAGACUGCUCUGCUCGGGUGCGGAAGAGGGAAGCGGAAUUUCCGGUGUAGCGGUGAAAUGCGUAGAUAUCGGAAGGAACACCAGUGGCGAAAGCGGCUUCCUGGUCCGACACCGACGGUUCAGGCACGAAAAGCGUGGGGGAGCAAACAGG